rnacentral:rRNA from 1 species
GAUGAACGCUAGCGAUAGGCCUAACACAUGCAAGUCGAGCGGAAGCAUGGUCUUAGCUUGCUAAGACUGAUGGCGACCGGCGCACGGGUGAGUAACGCGUAUGCUACUUGUCUCACUGAGGGGGCUAACCCGACGCAAGACUGACUAAUACUGAGUUCACUCACCCUUGGGCUUCACAGGUAGAGGAAUUGAUAUUCGCUGUGAGAUAGGCAUGCGUCCCAGUAGCUCGGUGGUGAGGUAACGGCUCACACAGGCGACGAUGAGUAGAGGAACUGAGAGGUUGAGCCCCCACGCUAGUACGGAGACACGGACCAGACUCCUACGGGAAGCAGUAGUGAGGAAUAUUGAUCGAGGGGCGGGAGCCUGAACCAACCAAGUCGCGUGAAAGAAGGCUGUCUUAUGGAUAGUAAACGUCUUUUAUACAGAAAUAACAAGUGUGACGCGUGACUCCCUGCGUGUACCGUAAGAAUAAGCGUCGGCUAACUCCGUG